UACAGAGGUCCCAAGCGUUGUUCGGAUUCACUGGGCGUAAAGGGUGCGUAGGUGGCCGGUUAAGUCUGACGUGAAAUCUCCGAGCCUAACUCGGAAACUGCAUCGGAAACUAUCCGGCUCGAGGGUUGGAGGGGUGACCGGAAUACUUGGUGUAGCAGUGAAAUGCGUAGAUAUCAAGAGGAACACCAGUGGCGAAGGCGAGUCCCUGGACAACUCCUGACACUGAGGCACGAAAGCUAGGGGAGCAAACAGG
rnacentral:rRNA from 1 species